rnacentral:rRNA from 1 species
CACAAGCAGCGGAGCGUGUGGUUUAAUUCGUUGCUACACGAAGAACCUUACCUGGGUUUGACAUAUAGGUUGUAGGGAACUGAAAGGGACGACCUUCGGGAGCCUAUACAGGUGUUGCAUGGCUGUCGUCAGCUCGUGUCGUGAGAUGUUCGGUUAAGUCCGCUAACGAGCGCAACCCUCGUCGUAUGUUAUAUGUGUCAUACGAGACUGCCGGUAAAAGCCGGAGGAAGGUGAGGAUGAUGUCAAGUCAGCAUGACCUUUAUAUCCAGGGCUACACACACGCUACAAUGGUCUGUACAAUGGGUAGCCAAGCCGCGAGGCGGAGCCAAUCCUGAAAGCAGGCCUCAGUUCAGAUUGCAGUCUGCAACUCGACUGCAUGAAGCCGGAGUUGCUAGUAACCGCAGGUCAGCAAUACUGCGGUGAAUACGUUCCCGGGUCUU